GCUCUAGAAACCUCUCCAAAAUAUAUUCAAACAUAUUUCCAAGCCUAAAUCAAAGAUCGAAGUGAAGAUUAAAGUGUUUAGGGUUUCCAAGUAAGGUCUACCCUUGUCUCCUCUUCUUGAAGAUGCUUGGGUGAGUAUUGUUAAGGUGGAGUAACCAUGGAAUUGAAGUGUUAUUGCAUUUUGAGGUUCGGGUGAAGGGAAAGCAUCGAAAUAAAGGAUCCUUUUGAGUGGUGGCUUGACGAAUAAGGUCCUGACAGAUUUAUUGGAGAGCAGCCGCAGUAGGACUUCCAGCUUCAGCGGUGUCAGCAAGUGCCACUACUCCGGACUUGCUAUCUUUUGGUACAUUUAUGUUAGCAUGAUAUAUGUUCAUAUGUACACUCUUAGAGGCUCAUAGACAUAGUGGGGUAUGUAGAUAUUAUGUCUGGCCUUGUCGGCCUUGUUUUGGUUUUGAUAUUCUCCUGAUAGCCUUGCCGGCUUUAUGAUACUCAUGAUGUUGUAGCGGCCUUGUCGGCUCGCUUAUGUACAUAUAUAUAUAUAUAUAUAUAUAUAUAUAU